UACAGAGGGUGCAAGCGUUGUUCGGAAUUAUUGGGCGUAAAGCGCGUGUAGGCGGCUUUGCAAGUCGGGUGUGAAAUCCCUCAGCUUAACUGAGGAAGUGCGCCCGAAACUGCCGAGCUUGAAUACCGGAGAGGAUGGCGGAAUUCCGCAAGUAGAGGUGAAAUUCGUAGAUAUGGGGAGGAACACCGGUGGCGAAGGCGGCGAGCUGGACGGCUAUUGACGCUGAGACGCGAAAGCAAGGGGAGCAAACAGG
rnacentral:rRNA from 1 species